rnacentral:rRNA from 1 species
AUACGGAGGAUCCGAGCGUUAUCCGGAUUUAUUGGGUUUAAAGGGUGCGCAGGCGGCCAUUUAAGUCAGCGGUUAAAUCGUGGGGCUCAACCCCAUUCUGCCGUUGAUACUGGGUGGCUUGAUUGCGGUCGAGGUUGGCGGAAUUCGUUGUGUAGCGGUGAAAUGCAUAGAUAGGACGAAGAACACCGAUUGCAUAGGCAGCUGACCAGACCGCAAAUGACGCUCAUGCACGAAAGUGCGGGGAUCGAACAGGAUUAGAUACCCUGGUAGUCCGCACAGUAAACGAUGAAUACUUGUUUUCGGCGAUAUAAUGUCGGAGGCAAAGCGAAAGCGAUAAGUAUUCCACCUGGGGAGUACGCCGGCAACGGUGAAACUCAAAUGAAUUGACGGGG